AGAGUUUGAUCCUGGCUCAGGAUGAACGCUAGCGGCAGGCCUAAUACAUGCAAGUCGAGGGGUAAGAGUCAGCUUGCUGACUACACGACCGGCGCACGGGUGCGUAACGCGUAUGCAACCUACCUUUAACAGAGGAAUAGCCCCGAGAAAUCGGGAUUAAUACCACAUAACAUUAUGAUAUGGCAUCAUAUUAUAAUUAAAACUCCGGUGGUUAAAGAUGGGCAUGCGUGACAUUAGCUAGUUGGUGAGGUAACUGCUCACCAAGGCUACGAUGUCUAGGGGUUCUGAGAGGAUGAUCCCCCACACUGGUACUGAGACACGGACCAGACUCCUACGGGAGGCAGCAGUAAGGAAUAUUGCGCAAUGGAGGCAACUCUGACGCAGCCAUGCCGCGUGCAGGAUUGAAGGCCUGAUGGGUCGUAAACUGCU
rnacentral:rRNA from 1 species